rnacentral:rRNA from 1 species
UAAGGAAUAUUGGUCAAUGGACGCAAGUCUGAACCAGCCAUGCCGCGUGGAGGAUGAAGGUCCUCUGGAUUGUAAACUUCUUUUAUCUGGGACGAAACACUUCUUUUCUAAGAGGCCUGACGGUACCAGAUGAAUAAGCACCGGCUAACUCCGUGCCAGCAGCCGCGGUAAUACGGAGGGUGCAAGCGUUAUCCGGAUUCACUGGGUUUAAAGGGUGCGUAGGUGGGUAUGUAAGUCAGUGGUGAAAUCCCCGAGCUUAACUUGGGAACUGCCAUUGAUACUAUAUAUCUUGAAUACCGUAGANGUAAGCGGAAUAUGUCAUGUAGCGGUGAAAUGCUUAGAUAUGACAUGGAACACCAAUUGCGAAGGCAGCUUACUAUGCGGUGAUUGACACUGAGGCACGAAAGCGUGGGUAGCAAAC